UGGGGAAUCUUCCGCAAUGGACGAAAGUCUGACGGAGCAACGCCGCGUGAACGAUGACGGCCUUCGGGUUGUAAAGUUCUGUUAUACGGGACGAAUGGUACGACGGUCAAUACCCGUCGUAAGUGACGGUACCGUAAGAGAAAGCCACGGCUAACUACGUGCCAGCAGCCGCGGUAAUACGUAGGUGGCAAGCGUUGUCCGGAAUUAUUGGGCGUAAAGGGCGCGCAGGCGGCGUCGUAAGUCGGUCUUAAAAGUGCGGGGCUUAACCCCGUGAGGGGACCGAAACUGCGAUGCUAGAGUAUCGGAGAGGAAAGCGGAAUUCCUAGUGUAGCGGUGAAAUGCGUAGAUAUUAGGAGGAACACCAGUGGCGAAAGCGGCUUUCUGGACGACAACUGACGCUGAGGCGCGAAAGCCAGGGGAGCAAACGGG
rnacentral:rRNA from 2 species